UUGGGACUGUCUGUGUUUCCUGGACUUGUGUGACUUUUUGUCUCAUCAAAUUAGGGAAGUUUUCUAUCAUUACAUUUUCAAACAGGUUUUUUAUCCCUUGCCCUUCUUCUUCUUCUGGUAUCCCAAUUAUACAGAUAUUAUUUCAUUUCAUGUUGUCUUGUAUUUCUCU